AGGGGAAUAGCCCGUUGCUGGCAGCAACCAAUCCAGUCACCUAGCUUUUGAUACUGCAAUUGUUCCAGCAAAAAGCCUAACCUCUUUUUAUAACUGCUGCAAGACCCUGCUAAAUCUCUCUGGUGUCUGAACUAAAGAUGAAUAUAUUUGAAACAUUGCAAGAAUGCUAGACAUAACGGAAGACUCCACUACCUCAUCAAAUCAUAGCCAAUCAGAAGAAGAGCCAAGAAGAACGCCAAUCACAUUGCUUUCUGCAAAGUUGGUCUCCACCCUUCAGCGUCUGUGUUUCUUUACAGAGUUAGUAGGAGUGAGAUAAUGUGCUCAUUCUGUGUCUUUGUUAAAACUUAAACUAGUUGGGUUUUUUUAAAAAAUAAUUUUGACAAUUCUGUUUCUUUCUAUUCUUUCAUCCAGUCUAUAACCUUUCUCUGUUGAAAUUAUCCAUCACCAAACUUAUAUUUUCAAAAUUCCCAUACUCCCUCCCCAAACUGUACAGCUCUUAGUUCCCCAUAGUCCUUAAUCCCUUCUUUUAUGAGCUUACUGUGUGUUGUGUGCCGUUGCCUUUUCUCUCUCUCCCAAAUAUUAAAAAAACAACAAAAACCCUUUGUUUGUGUUUGUAGCUCUGUGUCUUGUUCUCUGUGUUUAUCUAUUUUCCUUGCAGUUUUUCUGGCUUGUGUGUGUGCAAACCCCUUGCUAUACACAAGCAGCUAGCUAGUGCACACAAGCACACAUUCAAAUUAAUAAAAUAUUAUUUACCAAUGAGACUGGUUGGCCUCCUUUUUUAUUUUUCUCUCCCCCCCCCCAUUUUAAAAAACCCACUACUUUUUCCUUAAACUACCCCUCAACUCUGACCAGUACCAUCUAAACUACAUCUCAACGCUAGUCUACCCCCACACCCAGCAAGUUAGACCUGCAAUAUCCUACUUACAUGCCUGCUUCCUCUGACAGGACCAGCAUUUCACUUUACAAUUAUGCUUAUUGUUUAUAAGUCUCACUGAUAUGAAAGUGAUUUUGGUUAAUCACAUGUGCUUAAAUUGAAAAAAUGCUCUAAAAUCAGUGUAUAGACUGAGUAUUCUGAAACCUGACAGGCUUGCUGCCCUGUUCAUCU